UACCCAGGGGGGUAUUCAAGCAGCGAGUGGGUUUUUCCCAUCCCAUUGUUCUACUGAGAAAUUGUUCAAGGUCCUAAAUAAAGCUUAGGAAAGAGAGCCACCUGUGGCGUUUUUCUUGCUGGUCAAGUCGAAUGCCACAGCUGCUGCCGAAACCUGGGAGAACUUCACCAGGCGAUGACUCAGAAAUUCCUAAUGCUCAGGGAAGUACACUAAAGUCCCCAAGGAUCGACAAGAUCCAAUGUGGGUCCCUGAGCGACUGAUAAGACGGAUCCAGGACCAUGAAGACCAUGAAGUUGGUGCUGACAAUACUAUGGCCCAUUCUGCUGAUGAUUCCGAACGGACAGAUGGAACCAAGAUGGGGGAUCCUCUCCGUGUUCCCACGACCAAUGCCGAUUCAUCAUGAUGCUAGGUUGUUUCCACGACUGUUUACCAGUAAUAGAAGUCUUGAUAUUCCUUAUUUGCCAAUAGAAACGGAUUUAGCACCCAUAGGAGAAAAUAGAUCUUUUGGCCUGAAAGGAACCUUAUGUUUUUAUAUAGUUCGCAACAUUUCUGAAACAUCCUCCUGCAUUCCCUUAUACAAUCAAACGGCCGGUUGGUUUGAUUUGCCCUUGAGUUCUAGUGGCCCCUGUCAUUCAGCGAAUGCCACUUGGGCAUCAGGAUGGUGGCCUGCAAAGAUGGAUGAUGGUAUUCCUCCACACCAGCCGAAAUGGGCUCCCUAUUGUUGGGGGAUAAAUUGGGGAGAGUUUUGGCCCUGGACUGGUUGUCAGUCUCAUACAGUAAUUUGGGCUGAUAAAGCACAGCGUUUUACCUUUUCCCCAGGAAUUAGCACAAGCUUUAAUAAAAGUUUUACAGGCUUUAAUUUUAGUGAUCAGAAUCCUUUUCGAAGCUAUAUGUCUAACCCCUUUGAUAAUUGACUGUUAUGUGGUAUUAAUGGUAGUUGCAUGAAUUUAGAACCCAUGAUUAUGAUUGGCGGAGGAGUCCAUGGAACUAGCCAAUUUACCUGGGGUACACCUCGCCCGUGGGGAUGUUGGGGCUCUGAACCGUCCUACGUUACUGUCACUUCGCCUGAUGGCACCACUGGUAUUCAUUCAACCUAUGCUGGCUGCUCUGGUGAAGGGAGUAAAACAUUUUAUAAUAUUACCUAUAAGCCAACCCCAGUGUGUGUUUAUCCUCCAUUUAUGUUUGUGGUAAGUAAUACAGAGCCAAGCAAUUGUGAUAAUGUAACUUGCUUUUAUGCCCAAUGCUGGAAUGCCAGCUUAUUUAAAUAUGCGAUUGUUACCCGCAUGCCACGGUGGAUACCCGUCCAUGUGGAUGCUCCUCACGCUAUGAGCUUAUUUAGACUAAAAAGGGAUUUUGGAAUUUCCGCUGCCGUCAUUGCUGCCACUUCCCUAGCAGCGGUUGGAGCUGCCACUGCGGCGGUUGCCAUGAGCCAUACUGUACAGACUGCAUAAACCCUAAACAACCUUUCAGCCAACGUUGCAUUGGCUUUAGAUGUUCAGAAAGGGAUCAAUGCACAACUGAAAGGAGGGCUAAUGGUAGUUAAUCAAAGAAUUGAUUUGGUGCAGGAACAAAUCGAUGUCCUCUGGCAGUUGGCUCAGCUAGGAUGCCAAUGGAAGUAUGCUGGACUCUGUGUGACAAGCAUACAAUAUGAGAAUUUUACCCAUGCUGCGAACUUGUCUAAACAACUGUCUAGUUAUCUCCUAGGUAAUUGAACUGGAGAAUUUAAAACCAUGAUGAAGCAGCUGAGGGUGGCCAUCGUUACCGUGAAUUCCACCCGAGUGGAUGCUGGAAUUGCUAAAGGGCUUUCAUCCUGGAUCUCUGCAGCUAUGAAUCAUCUGAAGGAAUGGGUGCGCUUGGGAGCGUUAGCUGGCCUUCUGGUGUUGGUCUCCCUAGCAUGUCUGUGGUGUAUCUGUUGGAUUAGGGUCUCUCAACGAUGCAGUGCAGCCAUGAUAAUACAAGCCUUUACAGCCAUAGAGGCUGGCCAAUCCCCCCAAGCAUGGUUAGCCACCAUGAAAAGUUGAUCUGACGAAUUCAGGGUGCAAGACAAGACACUACACUCAAGGACAGCUAUUUGCUGGCCUUGAGAAGAGCACGCCUGACUGCAUAUGGGUUGGUGUCCAAGAUUCCACCUCUGGAAAAUGACAUCGAGCCAAUCUGGCACUCUUUGAGUGGGAGACACCUAAGGAGGAUCAAUAUAAGGCUCUUGUUUCACAGAGAGCAGGCCUCUACUCUUACCUGUGUCAUCUUAAACAAAAAAGGGGGAGAUGUAGAGAGCUGCUUUGUUCUGUGCCUUGAAAAUGGCGCUGGCUUCCGCUCUUCACCCCUGACCGAUGGACAUUCUCUGACCCUAAACAUCUUUAUUUAUGGCCAAAUAUGUGACCUGGCUUGCUUCUGCGUACUUAGCCCUAUCCGCAUUUCCCACAUGGCUUGCUAGGGUUGGCUACCCAGGGGGUAUUCAAGCAGCGAGCGGGCUUUUCCCAUCCCAUUGUUCUACUCAGAAAUUGUUCAAGGUCCUAAAUAAAGCUUAGGAAAGAGA